AACGAACGCUGGCGGCAUGCCUAACACAUGCAAGUCGAACGAAGGCUUCGGCCUUAGUGGCGCACGGGUGCGUAACGCGUGGGAAUCUGCCCUUUGGUUCGGAAUAACAGCUGGAAACGGCUGCUAAUACCGGAUGAUGACGAAAGUCCAAAGAUUUAUCGCCAGAGGAUGAGCCCGCGUUGGAUUAGGUAGUUGGUGGGGUAAAGGCCUACCAAGCCGACGAUCCAUAGCUGGUCUGAGAGGAUGAUCAGCCACACUGGGACUGAGACACGGUCCAGACUCCUACGGGAGGCAGCAGUGGGGAAUAUUGGACAAUGGGCGCAAGCCUGAUCCAGCAAUGCCGCGUGAGUGAUGAAGGCCCUAGGGUUGUAAAGCUCUUUUACCCGGGAAGAUAAUGACUGUACCGGGAGAAUAAGCCCCGGCUAACUCCGUG
rnacentral:rRNA from 1 species